rnacentral:lncRNA from 1 species
AAACUAACACCACUGUCUUCUUUCUCUAUCUAGGGUUAGAUCUCCGAUUAUACAACUAGACAACCACCACCAUGGAGGGCUAGGAUCUAACUACCAAGUCAGCGCUCUACCCAUAUCACUCUGCUAACAAUUAGUAUCUUGGCCAGGAGAAGAGAGCGAUGGCGAUGGCGGUGACGGUAUGGUCAUGGUAGUGAUGUCUCCUACGAUGGUUCGAGUAUGUGCUUCACUAACAAUUUACAGGGUUUCCGGUGGUGUUCAGAUACUACAGUGAUUGACGAACUACUGCGCAAUUAGCUAGCGUUUCAUUGGACUUCCAGCAAGCCGAUUACGACAUUAAUCAGCUAUGGCCGAGAAGGUAGUGGUGAGACGAUUCACCUCUCCGACAGAUUAUAGUUAUGGUUGGUGGGUAUCAUUUCAAGUCUUAAUGGUUGAGUUCACAAUUGGUUGAUUGGGAGCUAAGAUGUCUUGAAGUUAUAUAUAUCUACUGGAAUAUUGUAUUGGGAUUAGCUUCAGUUUACAUUUGUUAUGUUUUGAUUGUGCGGGGGAAGCCUUUGAAGAACAGUGGGAAUCAAGUUUGCCACAUAUGUGGGGAAAAUGCUAAUAGCACAGAGAAAGAAAAAGUGUUUAUACAUGUGAUGUAUGUGCAUUCCCGUUUAUGCAUGUGAUGUAUGUGCAUUCCCAGUUUGCAGGUUGUGCUAUGAGUAUGAGCGCAAGGAUGACAAUCAGUCUUGUCAUCAAUGCAAAACUAGAUACAGGUGACAAAAAGGUUUCAUUCACUUCAAAGCCAGCUUAUACCAAUCUCUUUGCUAAUUUACUAUGUAUAUAUUGUAGGGUUAUGUGCAUCUAUUGUUUAUAAAC